rnacentral:rRNA from 1 species
UACGAAGGGUGCAAGCGUUACUCGGAAUUACUGGGCGUAAAGCGUGCGUAGGUGGUUUGUUAAGUCUGAUGUGAAAGCCCUGGGCUCAACCUGGGAAUUGCAUUGGAUACUGGCAGGCUAGAGUGCGGUAGAGGAUGGCGGAAUUCCCGGUGUAGCAGUGAAAUGCGUAGAGAUCGGAAGGAACAUCUGUGGCGAAGGCGGCCAUCUGGACCAGCACUGACACUGAGGCACGAAAGCGUGGGGAGCCAAACAGG